rnacentral:misc_RNA from 1 species
UAUUUAAAAAUGGCGCUCAAAGUUGACGUGUAAUCAACGUGAAUAAUAAAACAUCAUUAAACAUUAAAAUAUAACAUAAAAACGAUGUUUUCUCUUACUAAUUUACUUUCCGGGUUGUUUUUGUUGUUUAUUUGCCAUUCUAUCUGGAAUUUAGUUACAUUAUUUCGUCCUCCAGAAUGUAAGAUAGGUGAACUUUGUUACAGCUCAUAUUUAAAUAGUAAACCUUCUUUAAAUUUGUUACUGUUUGCCUCCGACAAUACAAUAAGCUCAUUAACAUUAGUUGAUAACAUUACCAAUUUUGACUAUGAUACUCCAUUUGAAAGGGAGUUGCAGUUGGCUCUACCUACUUCAACUCGACAAAAUGGGAGUCUUUUCAUGCAUGUAGUUUUAUUUCCUGCUAGAAUAACAAAAAAAGGUUUGAGUUUGAGUGAAGUAACUCGGUUUCCAGAUGCUGUUUAUUAUAGAAAGAAAGUAAGUGAACAUGUUGUUCCUAAAGAUAAUGCCUUUAAUUUGUUAAAAGAUGAAGGAGGAAAAAAGUCCUAUAAACCAGUUACACAUAUUCAAAACAAGUUUGCAAUCACCAUCUGUACUGACAACUUUUCUGUUCCCAAUAACCAUGUUCCAUUUGAAAUUGCAAAACACGUUAAUGUGAAUCAUAGAUCCCAGCUGCUCCCUAUUUUAGUAGAGGAUUUUCUGCAAACAAAAAGAACAGAUUUAGUGGAGGUGAAGCCUGACACCGAAUCUUUUAAAAUGACCUUUGCCUAUAGUCCAUCAUCCUUUGGAAAGUUGAGGUUUCUUUUACAAAUUGAAGCAACUUUACAUCAGUUUUUGAAACUUGGCUUUACUCAAAAGGAUUUGGAUGAAGUGAAAGGUGUCUUUGCAGAUACUAAUUUGUAUUUGCUUUGUGCUACAAUGUUUGUUGGAAGUAUUCAUUUACUUUUUGACUUUUUAUCUUUUAAAAACGACGUACGUUUUUGGAAAUCAAAAACUUCAAUGGCUGGACUGUCCACCAAAGCUGUCUUAUGGAGAGCUUUUUCUCAGACAAUCAUAUUUUUGUUUCUGUUAGAUCAGGGAACUUCAUUGCUGGUCCUUAUACCUUCUGGAAUAGCUACAGUGAUAGAGUUUUGGAAAUUGAAAAAAGUUUUCAAAGCUACAGUCAUUUGGGAAAAUGGUCUUCCUAAGGUACAUACGAAUCGAAUGAAACUGGAAACUGCAGCUGAAGCAAAGACUAGAGAAUAUGAUGAUCAGUGUAUGAGCAUGUUGAGUUAUGUGCUCUAUCCUUUGUGUUUGGGAGCAGCAAUUUAUUCGUUAAUUUAUCAAGCACAUAAGAGCUGGUAUUCAUGGGUCAUAAACUGUUUAGUAAAUGCAGUUUAUGCUUUUGGAUUUUUAUUCAUGUUACCCCAGUUAUUUAUUAAUUAUCGGUUAAAGUCUGUGGCUGCAUUGCCCUGGAGAGCCUUUAUGUACAGGGCUUUCAAUACGUUUAUAGAUGACAUUUUUGCUUUUAUAAUAACUAUGCCAACAGCUCAUAGAAUAGCAUGUUUUAGGGAUGAUAUAGUUUUUAUUAUUUAUUUAUAUCAAAGAUGGUUGUACCCAAUUGAUAAAACUAGAACAGAUGACAUUACUUCCGAAGACCUUCCCACAGAAACUCAGAAAAAACUUGAUUAACCUUGUGUGAUAAUUAGGAAAACGAAAAUACAAUUUGAAGAAGAUUACUUUAGUCAAUAAGGCUAACAGUAUAACAAAUACACCAGUUACAAGUUAUUAGUUUAAAUUAUACGUUUGAAAUGGAGGCAACAAGCCCGCACACGCUUUCUUUCGUCAAUAUACACUUAUAAUAAUUAUAAUAACAGUAUUUCUCUAGAGCUGUAGAAACAAACAGUUACAAUCAGAACCAACAUUUGAUAGUAAUAAUUUACAAUUAUUUUUUAUUAUUUCAACUGCUCGAGCAUACUCUCUCAGUUAAAAUGUACAUUUUCCUCAUUAAAAAGCCAGCAAUCAGUGAUUUAAUGAUAUAGUAACUAUACAACUAGUAUGUUUCUUUAAUUUUAGUGGUAAGUAGGUACAAUAAUAUUGCAAAUAUGAAACGAGAGGUGGUAACCGUUGCCGUUUAAAAAGGGUAGAAAAUAAUGUGUAGGCAUUAAAGUAAACUGAAACAAUGUUUCAUGUAUUAUUUUACAAUGGCUUGGUGAGGAGUUGGUGAAAAGGAACACACACGUACAUUUAUUUUAUCAAAAUUUUUUAUUUAUUUUCAUCUAACGAGUUCGUGGAGAAUUAAUAAAAUAAUAAAUAAAAGUACAAUACAGCAAAACCGCUACACGAAAUAAUUUUCUCCAUUUGAGAUUGAUUUGAAAUUCAAGCCUAGCACUUUUGUCAAAUAUUUGUAUAUAAAAAAAAACGCGUACAAAUUUUCCGCCUUUUUAGUUUUUGUUUAUUUUCAAAUUUACAAGUGCUAGUAAUUUCAAAUUGUUAAAAUUAUGUCGGUAGAUAGAUCACAGAAAAAAUGAUUAAUGUUACAGUUCGCGUGCUUCCACUAUUUUUUUUUAAGCCAAAUGUAAAAUAAAUUUCAAGCUGUCUGGGUACAGAAUGAAAAACAUCGAUGUUAUUUACAGUUUUGUAGUGUUAUCAUUUUUUCGAAAUAUCUUUAAAAAUAUCUGCUCGGUUGUCCUUUGUUGUGCACAGUUAAUAAAAAAAAGCAUUUUCUUAUUUAUGAAAACUAUUGUAAUUAUUUUUAAAGUGCUCAAAAUAAAAUACAUUCAGAAGUACGAAGUGCAAAGGUUGUUGUAAAACUUCGAAUUUCAAAACUUUGAUAAAUUUUCUAAACGAUUUUUCUAAAUAAACUUUUAUUGCUCCUUAUGUACAUUCUAUUUCAUAACGUCACUCUAAUAAGUAAAUGUAAUUAAUUGGGUGAUCAAACUUGACCAUUUUUCUCCCUCAUGUUCUAGUUAUAUGUUACAUUACAUUUUUUUUAGAUGUACAAAAAUGUAUAAUCUGAGAGAAAAUAUUAGUACCUCAUUUCGUUCAAUAUGAAAUAUAACGAUAACAAAGGAAAAGUGCAAAAAAAAUGCCAGUUUGACUACCAAAAUAAAUAUAUUUAACCACAGGAGCGAUUCUAAACGUUAAUAAGUACAACAAUUAGAACAAGUAUAAGGAACAAUAAAAAUAUUGAUAAGAUUUUUUUUUCAGAAAACUUAUCAAAAUUCAUUGUUUAUAGGGCCCACUUUCAAAUUCUCCUCUUGUAAAAAGAAUUGAUCCUUUAGGCCAAUUUAAGUUGGUCUUGUUAAAGGAAUGCAGUUUAUAAAAAAAAAUAUU